rnacentral:rRNA from 1 species
AAAGGAAAGGGAGGUACGGGAUUUCGGGAUCUGAGAUCUUUUAACCAACCCCUCUUAGGUAAACAAGCGUGGCGGUUAUUGGUUCAUCCAGACUCGUUGUGUCCUAAGCUGAUGAAGGCAAAGUAUUAUCCUCAGGGACAUAUUCUUGAUACGGUGUUUCCGCAUUCUGCAUCAGUGACUUGGCAAGGUAUGAUGCAUGGUCUGAAACUACUUAAGAAGGGAGUCAUUUGGCGGGUGGGUGAUGGAUCUAGCAUUAAUAUUUGGAGGGAUAAUUGGUUACCCAGGAGCUCUGGUCUUAAAAUUUCAGCUAAAAGGCACAAUGAGAAAGGUUCUUGA